UAGUGGCAGACGGGUGAGUAACGCGUGGGAAGCUACCUUGUGGUAGGGGACAACAGUUGGAAACGACUGCUAAUACCCUAUGAGCCCUAUGGGGGAAAGAUUUAUCGCCAUGAGAUGUGCCCGCGUUAGAUUAGCUAGUUGGUAAGGUAAUGGCUUACCAAGGCGACGAUCUAUAGCUGGUCUGAGAGGAUGAUCAGCCACACUGGGACUGAGACACGGCCCAGACUCCUACGGGAGGCAGCAGUGGGGAAUAUUGGACAAUGGGGGCAACCCUGAUCCAGCCAUGCCGCGUGUGUGAUGACGGCCUUAGGGUUGUAAAGCACUUUCAGCAGUGAAGAUAAUGACAUUAACUGCAGAAGAAGCCCCGGCUAACUUCGUGCCAGCAGCCGCGGUAAUACGAAGGGGGCUAGCGUUGUUCGGAAUCACUGGGCGUAAAGAGUACGUAGGCGGACUGAUAAGUUAGGGGUGAAAUCCCAAGGCUCAACCUUGGAACUGCCUUUGAUACUGUCAGUCUUGAGAUCGAGAGAGGUGAGUGGAACUCCGAGUGUAGAGGU
rnacentral:rRNA from 1 species